UUUGGGAGGCCAAGGUGGGUGGAUCACGAGGUCCAGAGUUCGGGAAGAGCCUGGCCAACAUGGUGAAAUCUCAUCUCUACUAAA